rnacentral:tRNA from 1 species
GUUUCGAUAGCUUAUAUAUUAGAGCGUGGCACUGAAGAUGCUAAGGAGAGUGUAUAUUCUCGAAAUA